GAUGAACGCUGGCGGCGUGCCUAAUACAUGCAAGUCGAGCGAACAGACGAGGAGCUUGCUCCUCUGACGUUAGCGGCGGACGGGUGAGUAACACGUGGAUAACCUACCUAUAAGACUGGGAUAACUUCGGGAAACCGGAGCUAAUACCGGAUAAUAUAUUGAACCGCAUGGUUCAAUAGUGAAAGACGGUUUUGCUGUCACUUAUAGAUGGAUCCGCGCCGCAUUAGCUAGUUGGUAAGGUAACGGCUUACCAAGGCAACGAUGCGUAGCCGACCUGAGAGCGUGAUCGUCGACACUGGAAAUGAGACCCGGAGCAGACUCCAACGGGAGGAAGCAGUAGGGAAUCUUCCGCGAUGGGCGAAAGCUUGACGGAGCAACGCCGCGUGAGUGAUGAAGAUCUUCGGAUCGUAAAACUCUGUUAUUAGGGAAGAACAAAUGUGUAUGUAACUAUGCACGUCUUGACGGUACCUAAUCAGAAAGCCACGGCUAACUACGUG
rnacentral:rRNA from 1 species